CGAAAUGUCGAAACAUGGAAAGUGGUUUUGAUUUCAUGGAUUACGUACAUUUAUGUACCUCAAAAAGGAAACGAAUGCAUUUUCUAUGGAAGUACAUGUACUUCAAAAAGAAGACGAAGCUAAGCAACAGAAUGCAAUUCUCUGAGGCAUUGAUUUACAUGAUGUGCAUAUAAAGAGCAGCUGGCAAUUAUUUUAUGAUGAGAGCUUGUUACCAAAUGAAAGGAAAGUGCAGUAUUAGAAUCACUGAGGUACAUGUUACGAUGUACAUAUGCAUGUAGGUGGAGAUCUAGAUGUCCUGUAAAAAAAAACUGGUAUUAAAGAACUGAAAAGGAAAGAAACAGAACCAAAGAACAUUCCUUUUAAAUUAAUACAAUAUUGAACUCAAGA